rnacentral:rRNA from 1 species
UAUUGGACAACGGGGGCAACCCUGAUCCAGCAAUGCCGCGUGUGUGAAGAAGGCCUGAGGGUUGUAAAGCACUUUCAGUGGGGAGGAGGUUACUUAGGUUAAGAGCUAGAGUAAUGGACGUUACCCACAGAAGAAGCACCGGCUAACUCCGUGCCAGCAGCCGCGGUAAUACGGAGGGUGCAAGCGUUAAUCGGAAUUACUGGGCGUAAAGGGUGCGUAGGUGGUUUGUUAAGUUAUCUGUGAAAUCCCUGGGCUCAACCUGGGCAGGUCAGAUAAUACUGAUAGACUCGAGUAUAGGAGAGGGUAGUGGAAUUUCCGGUGUAGCGGUGAAAUGCGUAGAGAUCGGAAGGAACACCAGGGCGAAGGCGGCUACCUGCCUAAUACGACACUGAGGCACGAAA